rnacentral:rRNA from 1 species
UGCAAGUCGAGCGAGCGGAACCAACAGAUUUACUUCGGUAAUGACGUUGGGAAAGCGAGCGGCGGAUGGGUGAGUAACACGUGGGGAACCUGCCCCUAAGUCUGGGAUACCAUUUGGAAACAGGUGCUAAUACCGGAUAAUAAAGCAGAUCGCAUGAUCAGCUUUUGAAAGGCGGCGUAAGCUGUCGCUAAGGGAUGGCCCCGCGGUGCAUUAGCUAGUUGGUAAGGUAACGGCUUACCAAGGCGACGAUGCAUAGCCGAGUUGAGAGACUGAUCGGCCACAUUGGGACUGAGACACGGCCCAAACUCCUACGGGAGGCAGCAGUAGGGAAUCUUCCGCGAUGGACGAAAGUCUGACGGAGCAACGCCGCGUGAGUGGAGAAGGCCUUCGGGUCGUAAAACUCUGUUGCCGGGGAAGAACAAGUGCCGUUCGAACAGGGCGGCGCCUUGACGGUACCCGGCCAGAAAGCCACGGCUAACUAC